rnacentral:lncRNA from 1 species
UCCUGAUAUUGCAAGAGAAGGCUUCCAUCUGUAAUGCCUGGGUACUGCCAUUGCCUCAUGGACACCCACCACUGACAACGGCUCUCUGGAUACCUCCCUGAUUACACCCGGCUCCUGGCUCUUGGUACCUAAAGUCUCUAGGUUUCUGGAAUUGCUGAUCACCGUUGCAGGCUUCAUCACCCCAAAGAAAUAAAGAACUUGAAGCACAAAUGGCAGGCACAACCCUGAGCACAACUGUCUUCAUCUGAACUUUAGUGGAUGAGAUGCUGGGAAAUGCAAGGGAAGGCGGAAUUCUUCCUCCUCCAUCUACCAAAAGAGGAGAAGAGCUACCUGGGAGAGUGAUGAAGUGAGAAAUUGCUGACAGAGUGAAUUUCUUCUGAAUAAGAAAGUUGUACUGUAACAUGGAACACGGUGUUAUUUUGCUUUCUUGGUGUGGCGAUUGCACACACAAAUUCUGCCAGACCACCCAUCUGGGUGGGUGUGUACAGCUACAAGAACUACCUUCACACAUACAUUGCAGAGAGGAGCUGUUACUGACGGCUGAAGAAAAGGUUGUUCCCAGGUGCCUGUUUGCUGUGUUGAGUGGAAGUUCACCAGAGGGAUUGCUGACAAUCAUUACUCCUGGUGGAAUAAAGUCUGCUCUAGUGCCGUGGGCUCGUUUGGACUGAGGAUCUGCUCAGAGGCAGUGAGUGUUACAAGCUAAAAAAAAAGAUCAGGUCUUAAAAUGUCACUCAAUUCUCCAAUGCCCUGAGCCACCUGUAAUUGCUUACUCCGUACACAUGGCUUCCAAACCAUUUUAUUACUCGGCUGUUACACUCGGCAGAGGUAGCAUUUACUUACCUUUCCCAAGUGAAACAAAUGCCCAGAACAGCAAAGAAUCAGGCCAAGUGUGUUCCUCUAAACGAGCUUUACUUUCUUGAACUGCCAUAAAAUAUUAACUGUGUUAACAGAAAAAUUAAUCUCACUUUUUUCUUCCCCCCCCCCCC